CAAGCCGCGUGGAGGAUGAAGUAUUCGGUACGUAAACUCCUCUCGAUGGGGAAGAUAAUGACGGUACCCAGUUACGAAGAAGCCCCGGCUAAACUUCCGUGC
rnacentral:rRNA from 1 species